rnacentral:snRNA from 1 species
AAAAACCAUGGUUAAGGGAA